rnacentral:tRNA from 1 species
GGGCGUAUAACUCAGUCAGGUAGAGUGGCGGACUCUUAUGUUUUGCUCUCAAGUAGCGAACCGGGUAAAUCCGUUAGUCAGGGGUUCAACUCCCUUUACGCCCG